rnacentral:tRNA from 1 species
CGGAGCGUAGCUCAGCCUGGUAGAGCACCGUGUUCGGGACGCGGGGGUCGCAGGUUCGAAUCCUGCCGCUCCGACCA